rnacentral:rRNA from 1 species
CGGGUGAGGAAUACAUCGGAAUCUACUCUGUCGUGGGGGAUAACGUAGGGAAACUUACGCUAAUACCGCAUACGACCUACGGGUGAAAGCAGGGGAUCUUCGGACCUUGCGCGAUUGAAUGAGCCGAUGUCGGAUUAGCUAGUUGGUGAGGUAAUGGCUCACCAAGGCGACGAUCCGUAACUGGUCUGAGAGGAUGAUCAGUCACACUGGAACUGAGACACGGUCCAGACUCCUACGGGAGGCAGCAGCA